GACUCACUGACCAUAACAUCAGUGAAUACCAAUAGCGUUUUUUGAUCUAUGUCCGUUCUAAAAAGGGAAUUAAGUGUUUUUGUGGCAGUAAACCGGGAAUUUACCCGGAAACUUUAAACCAGAACCAACAGUUCCCACCUGGUUUUCCAGGUCAUAAACUGAGGUAAGACGGCGUUUCGGGGAACCU
rnacentral:other from 1 species